AGGCUUUGUUCAUCUGAUUUAUUUGUGGUUAAUCCAGAGAUGUCAACGUUUCAGCUCCCGAUCGGAACGUUGACAUCUCUGGAUUAACCACAAAUAAAUCGGAUGA